UUGAACGCUGGCGGCAGGCCUAACACAUGCAAGUCGAACGGUAACAGGAAGCAGCUUGCUGCUUUGCUGACGAGUGGCGGACGGGUGAGUAAUGUCUGGGAAACUGCCUGAUGGAGGGGGAUAACUACUGGAAACGGUAGCUAAUACCGCAUAACGUCGCAAGACCAAAGAGGGGGACCUUCGGGCCUCUUGCCAUCGGAUGUGCCCAGAUGGGAUUAGCUUGUUGGUGGGGUAACGGCUCACCAAGGCGACGAUCCCUAGCUGGUCUGAGAGGAUGACCAGCCACACUGGAACUGAGACACGGUCCAGACUCCUACGGGAGGCAGCAGUGGGGAAUAUUGCACAAUGGGCGCAAGCCUGAUGCAGCCAUGCCGCGUGUAUGAAGAAGGCCUUCGGGUUGUAAAGUACUUUCAGCGGGGAGGAAGGGAGUAAAGUUAAUACCUUUACUCAUUGACGUUACCCGCAGAAGAAGCACCGGCUAACUCCGUGCCAGCAGCCGCGGUAAUACGGAGGGUGCAAGCGUUAAUCGGAAUUACUGGGCGUAAAGCGCACGCAGGCGGUUUGUUAAGUCAGAUGUGAAAUCCCCGGGCUCAACCUGGGAACUGCAUCUGAUACUGGCAAGCUUGAGUCUCGUAGAGGGGGGUAGAAUUCCAGGUGUAGCGGUGAAAUGCGUAGAGAUCUGGAGGAAUACCGGUGGCGAAGGCGGCCCCCUGGACGAAGACUGACGCUCAGGUGCGAAAGCGUGGGGAGCAAACAGGAUUAGAUACCCUGGUAGUCCACGCCGUAAACGAUGUCGACUUGGAGGUUGUGCCCUUGAGGCGUGGCUUCCGGAGCUAACGCGUUAAGUCGACCGCCUGGGGAGUACGGCCGCAAGGUUAAAACUCAAAUGAAUUGACGGGGGCCCGCACAAGCGGUGGAGCAUGUGGUUUAAUUCGAUGCAACGCGAAGAACCUUACCUGGUCUUGACAUCCACAGAACUUUCCAGAGAUGGAUUGGUGCCUUCGGGAACUGUGAGACAGGUGCUGCAUGGCUGUCGUCAGCUCGUGUUGUGAAAUGUUGGGUUAAGUCCCGCAACGAGCGCAACCCCUGUUUUCAGUUACCAGCACGUAAAGGUGGGGACUCUGGAAAGACUGCCGGUGAUAAAUCGGAGGAAGGUGGGGACGACGUCAAAUCAUCAUGCCCUUUAUGUCCUGGGCUACACACGUACUACAAUGGCUAUAACAAAGAGAAGCGAAGCAGUGAUGUGGAGCAAAACUCAAAAAAGUAGUCUCAGUUCGGAUUGUAGGCUGAAAUUCGCCUACAUGAAGCCGGAGUUGCUAGUAAUGGCAGGUCAGCAUACUGCCGUGAAUACGUUCCCGGGCCUUGUACACACCGCCCGUCACACCAUGAGAGUUGGGAAUACCCGAAGUCUGUGAGCUAACUGUAAAGAGGCAGCAGUCGAAGGUAGAAUCAAUGAUUGGGGUG
rnacentral:rRNA from 1 species